UAAAGCUUACAGACCCUACGCGUAGACC
rnacentral:piRNA from 1 species